rnacentral:rRNA from 1 species
AUGAUUAGGAGUGUACCGAUUGGUGAGAAGCUCUUCAUAGGAGGAGACCUCAAUGGCCACGUGGGUACAUCUAACACAGGUUUUGAAGGGGCGCAUGGGGGCUUUGGCUAUGGCAUCAGGAAUCAAGAAGGAGAAGAUGUCUUAAGCUUUGCUCUAGCCUACAACAUGAUUGUAGCUAACAUCCUCUUUAGAAAGAGAGAAUCACAUCUGGUGACUUUUAGUAGUGGCCAACACUCUAGCCAGAUUGAUUUCAUCCUCUCGAGAAGAGAAGAUAGGCGUGCGUGCCUAGACUGUAAGGUGAUACCUGGGGAGAGUGUUGUACCCCAGCAUAAGCUGGUGGUUGCUGACUUCCGCUUUCGGAUUCGUGUCCAGCGGGAUAAGCGUGCCAAGGUCGCUAGAACGAAGUGGUGGAAGCUCAAGGGGGAGGUAGCUCAGGUGUUCAAGGAGAGGGUAUUUAAGGAGGGCCCUUGGGAGGAAGGAGGGGAUGCGGACAAUGUGUGGGUGAAGAUGGCGACUUGCAUUCGUAAGGUGGCCUCAGAGGAGUUUGGAGUGUCCAGGGGAAGGAGAAGCGAAGAUAAGGAUACCUGGUGGUGGAAUGAUGAUGUCCAGAAGGCGCUUAAAGAGAAGAAAGAUUGCUUCAGAUGCCUAUACCUGGAUAGGAGUGCAGACAACAUAGAGAAGUACAAGAUGGCGAAGAAGACCGCAAAGCGAGCUGUUGGUGAAGCAAGGGGUCGGGCAUAUGAGGACCUCUACCAACGGUUAGGCACGAAGGAAGGUGAAAGAGACAUCUAUAAGAUGGCUAAGAUCCGGGAGAGGAAGACGAGGGAUAUUGGCCAAGUCAAAUGCAUCAAGGACGGAGCAGGCCAACUCUUGGUGAAGGACGAAGAGAUUAAGCAUAGAUGGCGGGAGUACUUCGACAAGCUGUUCAUUGGGGAGAAUAAGAGUUCUACCAUUGAACUGAAUGACUCCUUUGAUGAGACCAGCAUGCGUUUUGUGCGGCGCAUCCAGGAGUCUGAGGUGAAGGAGGCUUUAAAAAGGAUGAAAGGAGGCAAGGCGAUGGGCCCUGAUUGUAUCCCCAUUGAGGUGUGGAAAGGUCUCGGGGACAUAGCGAUAGUAUGGCUAACCAAGCUUUUCAACCUCAUUUUUCGGGCAAACAAGAUGCCAGAAGAAUGGAGACGGAGUAUAUUAGUACCAAUCUUCAAGAACAAGGGGGAUGUUCAGAGUUGUACUAAUUACCGUGGAAUUAAGCUGAUGAGCCAUACAAUGAAGCUAUGGGAGAGAGUCAUUGAGCACCGCUUAAGAAGAAUGACAAGCGUGACCAAAAAUCAGUUUGGUUUCAUGCCUGGGAGGUCGACCAUGGAAGCCAUUUUCUUGGUACGACAACUUAUGGAGAUAUAUAGGGAGCAUAAGAAGGACUUGCAUAUGGUGUUCAUUGACUUGGAGAAGGCCUAUGAUAAGAUACCGCGGAAUGUCAUGUGGUGGGCCUUGGAGAAACACAAAGUCCCAGCAAAGUACAUUACCCUCAUCAAGGACAUGUACAAUAAUGUUGUGACAAGUGUUCGAACAAGUGAUGUCGACACCGAUGACUUCCCGAUUAAGAUAGGACUGCAUCAGGGGUCAGCUUUGAGCCCUUAUCUUUUUGCAUUGGUGAUGGAUGAGGUCACAAGGGGUAUACAAGGAGAUAUCCCAUGGUGUAUGCUCUUUGCGGAUGAUGUGGUGCUAGUUGACGAUAGUCGGACGGGGGUAAAUAGGAAGUUAGAGUUAUGGAGACAAACCUUGGAAUCGAAAGGGUUUAGGCUUAGUAGAACUAAAACCGAGUACAUGAUGUGCGGUUUCAGUACUACUAGCUGUGAGGAGGAGGAGGUUAGCCUUGAUGGCCAGGUGAUACCUCGGAAGGACACCUUUCGGUAUUUGGGGUCAAUGUUGCAGGAGGAUGGGGGUAUUGAUGAAGAUGUGAACCAUCGAAUCAAAGCCGGAUGGAUGAAGUGGCGCCAAGCUUCUGGCAUUCUCUGUGACAAGAGAGUGCCACAAAAGCUAAAAGGCAAGUUCUACAGGACGGCGGUUCGACCCGCAAUGUUGUAUGGCGCGGAGUGUUGGCCGACUAAAAGGCGACAUGUUCAACAGUUAGGUGUGGCGGAGAUGCGUAUGUUGAGAUGGAUGUGUGGCUACACGAGGAAGGAUCGAGUUCGAAAUGAUGAUAUACGAGAUAGAGUUGGGGUAGCACCAAUUGAGGAGAAGCUUGUCCAAAUAUCGUUUGAGAUGGUUUGGGCAUAUUCAGCGCAGGCCUCCAGAAGCUCCAGUGCAUAG